GCCAGUGGCGACAGCACGUUGAAUACACCAGUUCUCAAUGUAUUUCUGAAGUUAAGCAACGUUGCACUAAGUUUGGUAUCUGGAUAGGUGAUUAUCUUGGCCAUCGGGUGUUGUUGGCU
rfam:Asian citrus Psyllid, Diaphorina citri - Florida Strain, whole genome shotgun sequence.